ACAUACCCAUGCUCCUCUCACAUAGCUUCCUGCAAAGGAAGAGAGAUGAGAGGGAGAGGGAACCGAGAGGUUGGGAAGGAUCGAUAUGAAGCUAUUUGCUUCUGAGUGGAAUGUUGUCUGGUUCAAGGUUUUGCCUGUGAUUUGAGAAUGAUUUAUGUGUAGUUUUCAUUCCUCGAAUCUGCGGGAUCUCGGACCAGGCUUCAUUCCCCUCGGGGAUAGCUUCAAAUAUGAUAUGUAGUGGGCGUUACUGCAAAUAUGUUCUUGUUCUUUUGAAAUGUUUGUGAGGGUUGUUCGUGAGAUUCCUGUUGUUCUUGGGAGUAGCAAGAUUGUUGUAAUGAUGGCCUGCCUUGACUCCUCUUUCCUCUGUGUAUCUGGCUGGUGCUGAAAGUUUUCAUCAUUACCGUUUGAUUGGGAGAAUCUUCGCUUUCUCCUCUCUCCAUUUUCUCUCUCUAUGCCUCUUUGUUUCCAUUUCCUUCUCCCCUCUUUCUAUGCAUGCAUGAUGCAUGGAGUACGUAUUCACAAAGAUUUCGAGAACAUGCUAUUUAAAGUUGGUGCAAACUUAUAUAUUUAUCUGCAUCUGAUUAUUCUUGCUUUCAGGUAUUUAUCUUUUCUAGGUUUGAGGAUAGUCUUGGUGCUGGCCCUUUCAAGUUUCGAAGCGUGUAAUUCUCAGGACCAGAUGCGGUAUGCGUGUGUAUUUUCUUCAGCUUUGUUGGGACCUGGACCUGGAAAGAGUUCCUAAUUCCUCGACCGAAUGACAUCGUUGUAUAUAUAAGUACUCCAGUUGUAUGUUCUUCUCAGCAGGCCCUCUCAUCUGUGGUUUGUUGAUGUGCAUGUUUAGAAGCUGUUGGACCUCGUUUGAUGCUGUAUCUAGUUUUGAAUAGUUCGACUUGUCUUUUGUCUUCAGCUGGAUAUGGAUCUAAGAAGUAAUCUGAGAUUAUUGUUU